rnacentral:sRNA from 1 species
AACAAUUAACAACUGACAAUUAACAAUUGAAUUACGUCAGGCUUUCAGCCCUCCCAACGGGGAUAUUGCUUUUUCCCCAACGCUUCGCAUUGGGCUGAAUUAUUACGCCCUUUCAGGACUUUUACAGCAUUCAGUUCUCAGCAAUCAGCCUUGCAUUCCCCCCCUUUGAAGGGGGAAAAAGGGGAGAUGAAGCAUUGGGUUUGUUUAUUGAAUGGAUUGUAAUACCUUUGCCAUCGAGUAUAAAUAUUAAUGAUAGGAGAUU